rnacentral:misc_RNA from 1 species
UCCGGGGUCGAUCCAGGCGCGCUCUACGGUCGAUUUGGAGGCGAUCGGUGUAUGUACCUCGCCGCCGCCGGACCCCUAUGGACCCUCCAAAAUCGAGUGGUCCCAGGGGGGCCGUUUUCUAGAAAUGGUCCCUCUGGACCAGACGGACCCUCUGGGCCAUUUUCACAAAAUGGACCCUCUGGCCGAGGGGCCACGGCCCCCCUAGGGGGGCCAUUUGGGGCCGAAAAAAAAAAGUGCUCCAAAUCGCUCCGGGGUCGAUCCAGGCGCGCUCUACGGUCGAUUUGGAGGCGAUCGGUGUAUGUACCUCGCCGCCGCCGGACCCCUAUGGACCCUCCAAAAUCGAGUGGUCCC